rnacentral:rRNA from 1 species
AGUGAACGCUGGCGGUAGGCCUAACACAUGCAAGUCGAACGGCAGCACAGUAAGAGCUUGCUCUUACGGGUGGCGAGUGGCGGACGGGUGAGGAAUACAUCGGAAUCUACUUUUUCGUGGGGGAUAACGUAGGGAAACUUACGCUAAUACCGCAUACGACCUACGGGUGAAAGCAGGGGAUCUUCGGACCUUGCUCGAUUUAAUGAGCCGAUGUCGGAUUAGCUAGUUGGCGGGGUAAAGGCCCACCAAGGCGACGAUCCGUAGCUGGUCUGAGAGGAUGAUCAGCCACACUGGAACUGAGACACGGUCCAGACUCCUACGGGAGGCAGCAGUGGGGAAUAUUGGACAAUGGGCGCAAGCCUGAUCCAGCCAUACCGCGUGGGUGAAGAAGGCCUUCGGGUUGUAAAGCCCUUUUGUUGGGAAAGAAAAGCAGCAGGUUAAUACCCCGCUGUUCUGACGGUACCCAAAGAAUAAGCACCGGCUAACUUCGUG